rnacentral:other from 1 species
UACAUCCUGCUUUUGCUCGUUACGGCUUCACGUUGUUUUGAACCAAUGGCUGUUUCACGGGAGACCUAUAUUGGAACGCAGCUGACACGCCCUCGAAAGGGGAUCUCAAAAGCGUUUCUGCGGACACCCACCUGCGAGAGCGGGUUCAGAAACAAGCGGGCCGGACGGCAUAGGCGGGUUUUCU